rnacentral:rRNA from 1 species
AGCGAACGCUGGCGGCAGGCCUAACACAUGCAAGUCGAACGAACCUUUCGGGGUUAGUGGCGGACGGGUGAGUAACACGUGGGAACGUGCCUUUAGGUUCGGAAUAACUCAGGGAAACUUGUGCUAAUACCGAAUGUGCCCUUCGGGGGAAAGAUUUAUCGCCGUUAGAGCGGCCCGCGUCUGAUUAGCUAGUUGGUUGAGGUAAUGGCUCACCAAGGCGACGAUCAGUAGCUGGUCUGAGAGGAUGAUCAGCCACAUUGGGACUGAGACACGGCCCAAACUCCUACGGGAGGCAGCAGUGGGGGAUCUUGCGCAAUGGGCGAAAGGCUGACGCAGCCAUGCCGCGUGAAUGAUGAAGGUCUUAGGAUUGUAAAAUUCUUUCACCGGGGACGAUAAUGACGGUACCCGGAGAAGAAGCCCCGGCUAACUUCGUG